rnacentral:rRNA from 1 species
GUAGGUGGCAAGCGUUGUCCGGAAUUAUUGGGCGUAAAGCGCGCGCAGGUGGUUCUUUAAGUCUGAUGUGAAAGCCCACGGCUCAACCGGGGAGGGUCAUUGGAAACUGGGGAACUUGAGUGCAGGAGAGGAAAGUGGAAUUCCACGUGUAGCGGUGAAAUGCGUAGAUAUGUGGAGGAACACCAGUGGCGAAGGCGACUUUCUGGCCUGUAACUGACACUGAGGCGCGAAAGCGUGGGGAGCAAACAGGGAUUAGAUACCCUGGUAGUCCACGCCGUAAACGAUGAGUGCUAAGUGUUGGGGGGGUUUCCCGCCCCUCAGUGCUGCAGCUAACGCAUUAAGCACUCCGCCUGGGGAUACGGCCGCAAGACUG